rnacentral:rRNA from 1 species
UACGAAGGGGGCUAGCGUUGUUCGGAAUUACUGGGCGUAAAGCGCGCGCAGGCGGCUAUCCAAGUCAGUGGUGAAAGCCCGGAGCUCAACUCCGGAACUGCCAUUGAAACUGUUUAGCUUGAGGACGAGAGAGGUGAGUGGAAUUCCCAGUGUAGAGGUGAAAUUCGUAGAUAUUGGGGAAGAACACCGGUGGCGAAGGCGGCUCACUGGCUCGUAUCUGACGCUCAGGCGCGGACAGCGUGGGGAUCAAACAGG